rnacentral:rRNA from 1 species
AUGCAAAAAGCCAAGGACAGCCGUGGAUGGGUUGCAAGAAGGCUUCCACCAGUCACUCCAUCAACAUCAAUCAUCCGUGCUGCAAAAGCAGUUGCGACGGGAAGACCAGGGCAAGAAGACAGAAACUUUGGCCACUCUAGCAGGUUCAAAAGUACAAGAUAUGAGCCAUAUAGACAGGACCAACAUAACAAUGAAUCUGAGGAGAGUCAGCCGUACAACGAGAGACGGAGAUCUUCGUCAUCGUUGCUCCCUCCAAGAGAUGCAUUGCUGCAUGUGCCAAGGGUGACACCACCGGCCCCCAUAAACCUGGGAGAACAACAAACACCAGAGGCAGCGCAAAGCUAUACACAUCCACCAAACAUUGAAGCUUAUGUUCUGCCAAGGCUAGAGAUGAGGUUUGAAACGUUCGAAGAAAGUAAGAACUUCUACAACGUAUAUGCAAAGCAUGCUAGUUUUGCUGUCAGGGAAGGCCCCAAGUUUAAGACAAGAGCCUACCUUUAUUGCACGUGCCAUGGAGUUUAUGAAUCAAAGGUGUCUAAAGCAAAUAGACAGCAUAACAAGACGACAGCCAGAACUAACUGCGGGGCUAAAAUGAGGCUGAAGAAGGAAAAGGAUGGAACAUUUGUCGUAAAAGAGAUAGUCUGGGAACACAACCACAGGCUACAGCUCACCGCAGAAAUGCUUGUCUUCUUGCACUCCCACAAAAACUUUGACAAAACAAUCUUGGAGUACAUCAAGAAAGCAAAGAAUUCAAGGAUGGAUGAUGUGGACGAUGUCCUAAAGAUUGUCAACUUCUUUAAGGAGAUGAAAGCUAUAAACAAAGAAUUCUUCUGUGACAUGCAGCUCGAUGAGUCUGAUAGAAAGUACAGGAAACACCUCGCGUACCUGUAUUUCUUGCACAACGACUUUAAGGAUGAAUUCACAUCAAUUCUCAACUGGCCCCUCAUGCCAACUGAGUUUGAGGAUGCCUGGAAAAGACUGAUGGAUAAGUACAACCUCCACGAUGAUGCCACAAUGGUGGGCAUGUGGAAUGAGCGUGAGAAAUGGAUAUCAGCCUACUUCAAAGAAAUUUUGUGCGCCAAAAUGACAUCGACACAGCGAAGUGAGAGCAUGAACUAUGUGCUCAAGAAGAACUACGUAAAUGAGAGAUAUAACCUACACCGGUUUGUCAGCCAGGUAAACUCCUGCGUCAAAACCAGGAGGCAGACAGAGAACCAGGAGACAAUGGGUAACCGGAAGGAACAAAACACGCUGACCUUCUAUGGGUUUGACACCCAGAUGGCAAAGCUGUACACACAAGCUGUGUACAACGAGAUCAGAGAUAGGCUAAAGCUGAGCACUCUCUUCACGGUGACAGAGACGGAAGAACCCACAAAGUACCUAGUGCGCUACAACCACCCGCAAAAACUCUCUGUGUGGGCUCAACACGCGUUCCAGGUGGUUGCAGACCCCAUGGGAGAAACAUAUGAGUGCGAGUGCAGGCUAUGGGACCACACAGGUGAACGACAUGACAAUAGCACAUCCUACCAGCAGCAGCAGGAAAAGGUGAUUAAACCCCCAAUAUUCUCAAACACAACGGGAAGGAAGAGCAAGACGCAAGCAGCGAAAGCUGCUAAAGCAGCAGCCAAAAAGCCACCAUGCCCCAUCAAGCGCGUGGAAUUUGGCCCAGACGGCAAACCCCUCGGGGAAAGGGCAUGCGGAUUCUGCAAUGUCGUGAGCAACCAUAACUACCGCGCAUGCCCACUCCGCACAGACGCCACUGUCAACAAGAACAAGCAGAUUGGAGCCGCCCAGCUUUCUACCAAUGGAGACAACACACGUAACAGCUACACUUGCCGCAAGUGUGGUGGAACUGACGGGCAUAAUGCCCGCACGUGCAAAGUGGGCAAGGAGGUCAGUGGAGCUGAACAUGAACAGGGCAACGUACAGAGUUCCAAGCAAUCAAAUGAAGACGAUGAAGAAGAAGAGUUUGAUGACAAUGACGGCCAAUCAGACAAAGACAAUGAAGAUGACAGUGUCGGGGGCGAGGAAACUGAAACUGACGAUGAAGCUUCCAAGGCUCGACCUGGAAAGAGCGCCGGCAAGACACAACAUUCGGGGACAGUUAGGAGAAGCUCAAGACUGAACAAUACAUAAACGCUCGAAGGGGUUGAGCUCCACGACAAGGAGACGCUGGAGAUCGUCUGCACUAGCGAACCAGACAAGGCCGACGAGGUGAUCUCCAGGAUGUGGAUGAAGCUUGGCGGCAGGUUUCGUAGGAUCGUCGGCGUUGGUGUGCACUACACCAACGAAGAUGAACCUCCCCAGAUGGCGGCAGUCCUGCAGUUGUGCGUCGACGAAAUCUGCUUGGUGUACCACAUCGCCGCGGCCACAAAAUGGCCCAAGCGCCUGUCCGACAUGCUGCAGCAUGACAAGUUGUUCACGUUUGCCGGUUUCAGCAUUGAAACCGACAAAGAGAAGCUGAAGUUGUCCGGUAUGGAGAUCAACCCCAACAAGUUCAUCGACAUUCAGCGCAAGUGGAGAGUUCCAUACACCGGAAAAGAGUACGACUCCUUGACUGAUGUUGCAGCCAGCGUCAUCCACCCAUUCUACAAAGGCAUGAAGAACAAGAUCAACACUACACUUGAUCGGACAUUGCAUACUUACUACAAUAAAAAGUACAAAGAAGCAUCAGUCCCCUCUCUCUACAAAGCCCAUAGUCGCCGGAGGAAGGCCAUGGCGGAGGAACCGUUCGCCAAGCGUCAUCAUGCUGAGACGUCGGACAAGAGGAGCAACCUCGUCGACAUUAACGUCCCCGGCGAGAAGCGCAACUACACCAGAACGCUCGAAGGGGUUGAGCUCCACGGCAAGGAGACGCUGCAGAUCGUCUGCACCAGCGAACCAGACAAGGCCGAUGAGAUGAUGAGCAGGCUCAGGAUGAAGGGAGGCGGCUUGUAUCCGAGCUUCAUCGGAGUUGAUGUGGAGUACACCGACGAGGAAAAACCUCCACAGAUGGCAGCAGUCCUGCAGUUGUGCAUCGAGGAACUCUGCUUGGUGUACCACAUCGCAACGGCCACACAAUGGCCCAAGCGCCUCAAAGACUUCCUACAGGAGGAGAAAUUGUACACAUUUGUCAGUUUCAGCAUUGGAGGUGACAAGUGGAAGCUGGAGAAGUCUGGUUUGGAAAUCAACCCCAACAACUUCAUCGACAUGCAGCGCAAGUGGAAAGAUCCAAAGACCAACAAAUACUACGACUCCUUGGCCGAUGUUGCAGGCGGCGUCAUCCCCCCAUUCUACGAAGGCAUGAAGAAGAAGAUGAACAGGGAAGACCACAAACUAUGGGGGAAUAGCCCGCUGCCAGACAACCUCAUCACGUACGCAGGAAUAGAUGCAUACUCAACGUACAAGUCAUGGAAGACAAUCGACAACAUCGUGACAGGUUGGGAUAUUUCAAAAGAGCAGGAGGCUGACCCCUACUACCACUGCAACUUCACGGAUGAAGAUGCAUGA